ACCAAUGAUUUUAAACUUCAGACAAGCGUCCCCUAGCGAGAGAGAAAACACUUCUCUAUUAUGCCAUUCCAGACUCUGUCUACGAAGCAAAGUGAAGUAGCAGAGUCUGGUAUUACCAGGCUAAUAUGUUUUGCCAACUAAGUGUAAAAGCUGUAAAAGUUUUUGUGUUAAUAUAAAAGGGACACUUUUGCCUCAUAUUCAUCUUUUAAUGUUUUCAGAUGCCUUGUAUACCGCAAAAAAAGCAAUUUUCCUAAUGCUUUAUGGAGGGCACUGUAUAUCUACCUUUGUGUGUUGAAUUUUCAUCAAGUAAAUACUGUAAUGGGUUGGUUAUUUUACAGUUUAUUGUUGUAACUGAUCCUAAAGUCCUUCCAUUUAGUGUUACUGUUCAAUGCCAAAGUAUUUUGAGGGUAAGAUAAUUUAAUAAUUAUUAUUGUGGCAUGUUAAGAUGAAAGUAAUUUUACAUGUAUUCAUUGAAGCACUGAUAACUUGAUCAUACUGAUGUAAAUCAGUAUGAAGCUCUAAGAUAUAAGUUCAUAAUUUUUCAGUUAAUUUUGAAAUAUAUGACUUGUGCUCACUAAAACUACGCAGUGGUUUCGUCAUUGUAUUGGCUUGUAAUGUGCAUCAGAAACUGUAUUCUUCUUAUCUUAAAUAAACAGUAAAAUACAAUAUGCAAACCAUGGCCAUUUUGUCUAAAACAAUGUCUUUUUGUCUUUCCUUCUCAGCUUGUGCAGAGACUACCAAAGCAUUGUCGCAAACGCUUAAAGCCAAUAGAUGGAUCACUUGGUCAAAGGGCCCAAACAGCAAGCCUCUUGUCUGAGAGGAGGGUCAGGGAGAUGUAUGGAAGGGAGCGUCUUUUAAUUCUCUCUGUUGCUGUAGUAUAAUAAUAAUUGUCAGAACAAGCACGGCUCCUAAAGAUCGGGUGAUAGGGAGGGUACGGACAGAAAUGACCACUGGAGACAGAGUAUCAUGGGUAAAAUUUUGGAGUUUUUGAAUAUAGUCUCCAAAUGCAGUUUUUGUAUUUUUAAUGGCUAUUUCAGUCACUCUAUAGAAACUGUACAUUUUUAUAAAUUGCAACAAAUGUUUCAAUUUGGUAGCAGUUCCUCCUGUGGGGCACCAGGGGGAAACAGAUAUCUGUCGAUGUGUGCUUUUGGGAAUUAGGAUGUGCUUUGGUGCCAUCUGUCUCUGUCCUGUGCUUCUCACUCUUCCCACAGUGAGACAGCCUGCUGUGUUACUUCACACAAACAAGUGAAAAAGCAUAACGGUUUCUAAUGCGUAACAUGUAAUCCUGUUUGCGCUACUCCCUUGUCUCCGUGUCAAAUUAUGAUUAUAAAAUCAAACUUUUAUCACACAGAACGUGUUUGUGCGUUUUGCUGCACUGCUUUUACAUAGUUUUUCCAUAGUUUUUCCAAGUAUACAUGGGCUUGACGGACCUCUUUGACUGUCGAGACGGGGGUAGCUGCAUGUCGGAGUAAUGGGGGUGCUGAAAAGUGAAUUGCUAUAACAGAAACUAACCUCUAACCCUACCCCACACACUAACAGGCAGCUUUCACGACGAGUCGUAAAGACCUUUCUGCACCUUUCGUCACAUCCGUUUCUCCAACAUGCACAUAAUCACGGCUGCAUCCGAAAGCUUAAAAAUGCUGCCUUCGAAGGAUGCAUUCAAAGGUAGGAAGGCAUUGAGGCACGUCCAAAUCCAGUUUUAGCUUCACUUCCUGUCUCAUGAGAUGCCUUCAUCUGAUCGAUUUUGAAGGCAGCA